CUCUGCACAUCCUGCGUCUCAUUUGACUUCAGAAACUCCUGGGAGCCACAGACUAGGAGGAAGUCCCCAAGCAUGGAUCCCACCUGAGACCAUAUCCCGCCACGGAUGGAACCCUGCAGCUGCCUCGCAUAAGACAAAGAACCCGACGAGAAGUGAGCAGAGGACUCCAGCAGACACUGCACAGAGGUCUAAGCCUGGUGCACGCACACACAGGGAAACACACGGCCUCCUUGGGGACCAGCAGUGCACCUGAAGCCACGUGGGCUCCCCAGACGCCUGCCAGCACGGCCGAAGUGCAGGGCCUGGCCACACCCAGUGUGUGUGGGAAGCAGCCUGAACGUUCUCUUGGAAAACAGAAGGACCCCUUUGGAAAGUGGGCGGUGGCUUCUUACCAAGUUGAACACCGUUCCCAUGGGACCAGGAAACUCCACACCGAGGCACUUACCCGGGAGGAAUGCACGCAGGUCCACUGCAGCCAAUCAGCAACCCUAAUGAAGAGUGGCGGUCCAGCUCAGCUGUCCCCCUCAGUGGCAGGAUUUCAAACCCCCCUCAGCUACCCGGCAAACCACAGGAGGGACCUGGCAAGCUGA
rnacentral:lncRNA from 13 species